AACGCACCUUGCGCUCCGUGGUAUUCCGCGGAGCAUGCCUGUUUGAGUGUCGCGCCCUCACCUCACCCGCGCUUUUCCUUGACUGGAAUCGCGCGGCGUGGAUCGUGGCCUUGCUCGACCGCCUCGGCGCGUCGAAGGCCGAAAGACGGGGAGCGCGCGGCCUCUUGCGUUGAAGGCGCCGCGGCUUGACCGGACACCACGAUUGUACUUUUUGCCUUCGUGCCCUGUCCGGGACGCGGUCGCCUUCGCUCACGACGCCCGAGGUCGAGCGCUGCGAACGCAACUCACUUUUGAUCAACGACCUCAAAUCAGGCAGGACGACCCGCUGAACUUAA
rnacentral:misc_RNA from 1 species